UUCUUGAUUCAGCUCAGGCUCUCGCCACCGUUAUAUUCCACCUGAAACACUACUGGUAGAGGAGGUUGAGUGAUGAAGAAAAGAAGGGCACCAUCGAAGAUAUCUAAAACCCAUUUUAGCUCAGAUUUGACAGCCAUUAAAGGUUGUUGCUAUUGCACUAAAGUGUGAAACAACCUAGGCAUAAUUUGAUGACAUCGCUACCAGAUCCAGAAGAUACCCCAAAUGCCCAAAAGUCACCUGGGAUAGGACACAAAGAGAAAGCUCAUAGCGUUCUAGAAAAAAAAAAAAAAAAAAAAAAAAAAAAAAAAAAAAAAAAAAAAAAAAAAAAAAAAAAAAAACAUUGUGUGCGUUUGGUUACAGAUUAAAAAGCCAACUUAUUUUACUAUUUAGCUUAUUUUUGGUACUAUUCAUGAGUUCUACUCUACUAUUUCAGUUAACUUUUACUUUUAUCUACAAUAUUUUUAGCAAAAAGUUUUCAGUUUCAGUAAAAUAAGCGAAUCCCAAAAGAACCCAUUAUUUGGAAUUUUUAUUUUAGCUUAUUUGGCUUAAGACGUUGUCUAUAACUAUUUAAUAUGGUUUAUUACAUUGUCAAGAACAAUUUUAUGUGUUUUAUGAUAUAUGAAUAUUGAAAAGGUAAUCUUAAAAAUUAGUAGAUUCAGACUAGGUUAUUAAAAUUUAUGAUUUUUGUUAAUGAAUUUGUCACAUGGCCUAUGUGCAGGGUUUUAAUAAGUUCACUAAUGAGCUUGUGUAAUAUUUGAUAGUGUGCAUCAUCUAUUAUAGUUUUGGUAUACUAAACUUUGGUUGAAACAAAAAUACUAUGGUUAUGCAACACAACAAAGGUUCACUAUAAUAUGCUUGUAAAUGUUUGAUGAUAAUUGAAUUUGUUUUAUGGGUGAUUAUUAAAGCUUAAUUUUACUCACUAGAUGGUCUACAUGUAGUCAACUAAUUUUGAUCAUAUCACUUUUCAAACUUGUGGUAUAUAUUUUUUUACUUACUGAUUGUAAGUGAACUUGGUUUAACUUUAUCGCAAAUGUGUAUAAUAUUUUUCAUGGUAUAAAAAAAAAGUUUGAAAUCCAAAUGAGUUUCAAAUGGUUUAAGCAACUAAUAACCAUUUUUUUGCUUUUUUUAAAGGGUUGUUUAGGCUACCAACAUUUAAUAAUUCAAUUUAACAUCUAUAAUUGACCAUUUCCGUGCAUAAGUACGAGUUACAUUCUAGUACUCUUCUAAAAGGUAGAAUAUCAUGGAUCUAUAGUCUACAAUGAAUCAAAAAUAAUUCGAAUAAUGGUUCGAUUAAUCUCAUGUAUGUACUAGGGGUUUGAAUAAUGGUUAAAUUAUUAAAUUCAAUACUUUUGAAUUAGUAAUUUAUCAUUAAGUGAAACUUUGAUCCUCCCCAUCAAGCCUAACAAAGAAAUAGAUGGUUGACCACAUGAAUCCAGCCAACAAUCUCUCUCCCUCUCUCUCUCUCUAUAUAUAUGUGUGUGUGUGCGCGCACGCGCGCGCGCGUGU